rnacentral:lncRNA from 1 species
UGCAAAUUACUUGUCAAAGCUACAUGCAAUAAUAAAGGCACAAUUAUUGGAAACUCAAGAACGACAAAAAAUUAAUGCAUAUGCCUAUUUCAAGGAAAAAUCAUAAUUCAAUAUAAAUAAUAAGGUAUGACUACUUCAUUGCAAUAUUAAGACUAUUUGUCCUUGUAACAAGUUGGACUAUUGUAGGCUUGGAUCUUUUCCUAUUAGUGAACAAGUCAAUCUUAUUGCUUAUCAAUUAUAUCUACCAAAGUCUAUGAAGAUCCAUUCCAUAUUUCACAUAUUUCUUCU